rnacentral:rRNA from 1 species
UCAGACUAACAGGAUUCCCCUAGUAGCGGCGAGCGAAGCGGGAAGAGCUCAAAUUUAUAAUCUGGCACCUUCGGUGUCCGAGUUGUAAUCUCUAGAAGUGUUUUCCGCGUUGGACCGCACACAAGUCUGUUGGAAUACAGCGGCAUAGUGGUGAAACCCCCGUAUAUGGUGCGGACGCCCAGCGCUUUGUGAUACACUUUCAAUGAGUCGAGUUGUUUGGGAAUGCAGCUCAAAUUGGGUGGUAAAUUCCAUCUAAAGCUAAAUAUUGGCGAGAGACCGAUAGCGAACAAGUACCGUGAGGGAAAGAUGAAAAGCACUUUGGAAAGAGAGUUAACAGUACGUGAAAUUGUUGGAAGGGAAACGCUUGAAGUCAGACUUGCUUGCCGGAGCUUGCUUCGGUUUGCAGGCCAGCAUCAGUUUUCCGGGGUGGAUAAUGACGGUUUGAAGGUAGCAGUCUCGGCUGUGUUAUAGCUUUCCGUUGGAUACGCCCUGGGGGACUGAGGAACGCAGCGUGCUUUUUGCGAAAGACUCGUCUUUUUCACGCUUAGGAUGCUGGUGGAAUGGCUUUAAACGACCCGUCUUGAAACACGGACCAAGGAGUCUAACAUGCUCGCGAGUAUUUGGGUGUCAAACCCGGAUGCGCAAUGA